CCUUAGAGUGCAAAAGCAGUGCCUUACAAACUUAAGCAGGCUUCAGAUUAGCUGAGAUGUUUGUUUAAAAGGCAGAUUCUGGGACCCAUUCCUGAUUCAGGAAUAGCAGCUGACCAUGGAGAUAUACUGCCAUCAGAGUUUCUUUGAAAUUUUGUGUGGAGUGUACAAAGAACAACAGGAGGUCAGCACUUAUGAACAAGUGUAACUCUUUAUUAAGAUAGAAUUGUUCUUAUUCAAGAAAUAGAUGAAAAUGGUUAAGUACAAUUAAAUGGCUCCAAAAGUCUUACAAUGAAAACAACAGUCCUGCCAGUUAUUCUUUCCAGAGGCAAAUACUUUUCAUUCUUAGUUUUUCCUUCUGUUAGUUACCUUCAUGGGUUUUUCCAAAUUGUUAUCUUUUUAGUUUUUCAAGUGAAUGCAUAUAUUAAUACCUAAAAUUUUAAAAAGCUUCAGUUUAUAAUGCAUCCUAACAGUCCCCUGCCCCAUCCCUCCUAAUUCUCCAGAGCAAUGACUUUUAACUCUUCCAGCAAUGUCUUCUGUUUUUACCCUCACAUAACUACUUAGUCAUUUCUUGAUUAUUUUAUACAUUAUAUAGUGAUUUCUGGAUAUGACAGGUGAGGAUUUAGCUCUUACACCAUUGUUAUCUUCACUUCCUCCCAUAUUGUCCCAAAGUGGUUACCAUAUUUAGGGGCUAAGCAGUCACCACAUCAUUAUGACUGUGUAUGUAUUGCUCCUUGUUGAGAAAAACAGCGUAUUAUGCUCUUCCUAUCCUGUACUUCUUUCUGCCCUAAAAUUAAUGAUUGCCUAACCAACCCUUCCCCCUUAUUUUUUUACUUUUGCUUUAUCUUCAAUGAACUUCUUUCCAAAUGCCCCAAAUUUGGCAAUAACUUAUUAUUUUUAAGAGAAGAGAUCUCACUAAGGUAGCCAGGCUUGUCUGCAACUCUUGGGCUCAAGCCAUCCUCUUGCUGAGCCUCCUGAGUAGCUGGGACUACAGGCAUGGGCCAUUCCACCCAGCUAACCUAUUAAUAUUUUUACUGUUUCUUUUUAAGCCAGCUCCAUAGCUGGAAUAUUGCCUGUGUUGGAUCCUAUUUGCUGGAUCUAUGUCAUUCUCUGGUUUGUGUACUCCUUCACUUUGCUGGAGUAUUUUCUCCAAUAGCU